GAUGAAGAACGUAGUGAAAUGCGAUAAUUAAUGUGAAUUGCAGAAUUCAGUGAAUCAUCGAGUCUUUGAACGCACAUUGCGCCCCCUGGUAUUCCGGGGGGCAUGCCUGUCCGAGCGUCAUUGCUGCCCUCAAGCACGGCUUGUGUGUUGGGCUUCCGUCCCUGGCAACGGGGACGGGCCCAAAAGGCAGUGGCGGCACCAUGUCUGGUCCUCGAGCGUAUGGGGCUUUGUCACCCGCUCCCGUAGGUCCAGCUGGCAGCUAGCCUCGCAACCAAUCUUUUUAACCAGGUUGACCUCGGAUCAGGUAGGGAUACCCGCUGAACUUAAGCAUAUCAUAAGCGGAGGA
rnacentral:misc_RNA from 1 species